rnacentral:rRNA from 1 species
AAAUUGAAGAGUUUGAUCAUGGCUCAGAUUGAACGCUGGCGGCAGGCCUAACACAUGCAAGUCGAGCGGAAACGAGUUAUCUGAACCUUCGGGGAACGAUAACGGCGUCGAGCGGCGGACGGGUGAGUAAUGCCUAGGAAAUUGCCCUGAUGUGGGGGAUAACCAUUGGAAACGAUGGCUAAUACCGCAUGAUGCCUACGGGCCAAAGAGGGGGACCUUCGGGCCUCUCGCGUCAGGAUAUGCCUAGGUGGGAUUAGCUAGUUGGUGAGGUAAGGGCUCACCAAGGCGACGAUCCCUAGCUGGUCUGAGAGGAUGAUCAGCCACACUGGAACUGAGACACGGUCCAGACUCCUACGGGAGGCAGCAGUGGGGAAUAUUGCACAAUGGGCGCAAGCCUGAUGCAGCCAUGCCGCGUGUGUGAAGAAGGCCUUCGGGUUGUAAAGCACUUUCAGUCGUGAGGAAGGUAGUGUAGUUAAUAGCUGCAUUAUUUGACGUUAGCGACAGAAGAAGCACCGGCUAACUCCGUGCCAGCAGCCGCGGUAAUACGGAGGGUGCGAGCGUUAAUCGGAAUUACUGGGCGUAAAGCGCAUGCAGGUGGUUUGUUAAGUCAGAUGUGAAAGCCCGGGGCUCAACCUCGGAAUUGCAUUUGAAACUGGCAGACUAGAGUACUGUAGAGGGGGGUAGAAUUUCAGGUGUAGCGGUGAAAUGCGUAGAGAUCUGAAGGAAUACCGGUGGCGAAGGCGGCCCCCUGGACAGAUACUGACACUCAGAUGCGAAAGCGUGGGGAGCAAACAGGAUUAGAUACCCUGGUAGUCCACGCCGUAAACGAUGUCUACUUGGAGGUUGUGGCCUUGAGCCGUGGCUUUCGGAGCUAACGCGUUAAGUAGACCGCCUGGGGAGUACGGUCGCAAGAUUAAAACUCAAAUGAAUUGACGGGGGCCCGCACAAGCGGUGGAGCAUGUGGUUUAAUUCGAUGCAACGCGAAGAACCUUACCUACUCUUGACAUCCAGAGAACUUUCCAGAGAUGGAUUGGUGCCUUCGGGAACUCUGAGACAGGUGCUGCAUGGCUGUCGUCAGCUCGUGUUGUGAAAUGUUGGGUUAAGUCCCGCAACGAG